rnacentral:siRNA from 1 species
GUAAUAUUGUGUGUUAGGGCAUCU